rnacentral:rRNA from 1 species
UACGGGGGGGGCAAGCGUUGUUCGGAAUUACUGGGCGUAAAGGGCUCGUAGGCGGCCAACUAAGUCAUACGUGAAAUCCCUCGGCUUAACCGGGGAACUGCGUCUGAUACUGGAUGGCUUGAGUUCGGGAGAGGGAUGCGGAAUUCCAGGUGUAGCGGUGAAAUGCGUAGAUAUCUGGAGGAACACCGGUGGCGAAGGCGGCAUCCUGGACUACAACUGACACUGAGGAACGAAAGCCAGGGGAGCAAAGCGGG